AAAAUCCGUCGACUUUAAAAAUCGUGAGGGUUCAAGUCCCUCUAUCCCCAAAAAGUCUAUUUGGCUUUCCAACCAACCAUUUAUCCUAUCUCU
rnacentral:tRNA from 1 species